rnacentral:misc_RNA from 1 species
UGCCUGCCUGUCUGCUGGGAGUGUG